rnacentral:rRNA from 1 species
AGAGUUUGAUCAUGGCUCAGAUUGAACGCUGGCGGCAUGCCUUACACAUGCAAGUCGAACGGCAGCACGAGAGCUUGCUCUUGGUGGCGAGUGGCGAACGGGUGAGUAAUAUAUCGGAACGUACCCUAGAGUGGGGGAUAACGUAGCGAAAGUUACGCUAAUACCGCAUACGAUCUACGGAUGAAAGUGGGGGAUCGCAAGACCUCAUGCUCAUGGAGCGGCCGAUAUCUGAUUAGCUAGUUGGUGGGGUAAAAGCUCACCAAGGCGACGAUCAGUAGCUGGUCUGAGAGGACGACCAGCCACACUGGAACUGAGACACGGUCCAGACUCCUACGGGAGGCAGCAGUGGGGAAUUUUGGACAAUGGGCGCAAGCCUGAUCCAGCAAUGCCGCGUGAGUGAAGAAGGCCUUCGGGUUGUAAAGCUCUUUUGUCAGGGAAGAAACGGUGGUCUCUAAUACAGAUCACUAAUGACGGUACCUGAAGAAUAAGCACCGGCUAACUACGUGCCAGCAGCCGCGGUAAUACGUAGGGUGCAAGCGUUAAUCGGAAUUACUGGGCGUAAAGCGUGCGCAGGCGGUUGUGCAAGACAGAUGUGAAAUCCCCGGGCUCAACCUGGGAAUUGCAUUUGUGACUGCACGGCUAGAGUGUGUCAGAGGGGGGUAGAAUUCCACGUGUAGCAGUGAAAUGCGUAGAGAUGUGGAGGAAUACCGAUGGCGAAGGCAGCCCCCUGGGAUAACACUGACGCUCAUGCACGAAAGCGUGGGGAGCAAACAGGAUUAGAUACCCUGGUAGUCCACGCCCUAAACGAUGUCUACUAGUUGUCGGGUCUUAAUUGACUUGGUAACGCAGCUAACGCGUGAAGUAGACCGCCUGGGGAGUACGGUCGCAAGAUUAAAACUCAAAGGAAUUGACGGGGACCCGCACAAGCGGUGGAUGAUGUGGAUUAAUUCGAUGCAACGCGAAAAACCUUACCUACCCUUGACAUGUCUGGAAUCCUUGAGAGAUCAGGGAGUGCUCGAAAGAGAAUCAGAACACAGGUGCUGCAUGGCUGUCGUCAGCUCGUGUCGUGAGAUGUUGGGUUAAGUCCCGCAACGAGCGCAACCCUUGUCAUUAGUUGCUACGAAAGGGCACUCUAAUGAGACUGCCGGUGACAAACCGGAGGAAGGUGGGGAUGACGUCAAGUCCUCAUGGCCCUUAUGGGUAGGGCUUCACACGUCAUACAAUGGUACAUACAGAGGGCCGCCAACCCGCGAGGGGGAGCUAAUCCCAGAAAGUGUAUCGUAGUCCGGAUUGUAGUCUGCAACUCGACUACAUGAAGUUGGAAUCGCUAGUAAUCGCGGAUCAGCAUGUCGCGGUGAAUACGUUCCCGGGUCUUGUACACACCGCCCGUCACACCAUGGGAGCGGGUUUCACCAGAAGUGGGUAGCCUAACCGCAAGGAGGGCGCUCACCACGGUGGGAUUCGUGACUGGGGUGAAGUCGUAACAAGGUA